CUUCAAUGGUGAUGCUAUGUUGAGCAGAUAACAAAUAACGUUUCCAUAGUAACAAACAAAGCAUUAUCAUUAACAUAAGCCAAGGAAUACACUUAUAUGUAUCACAUUACAUUAAUAUAAGUUUUUUGUACAAAUUAAAAAUUCUGUUAUAUAUUAUAUACAUUAAUAAUAAUACACAAUUUAAAAACACAAAUCAAGCAGGGGCUUUAUGAUACAAGAGGUAUUUUAGAUAAAUGAAUAAAAUCUAUGUAAACUUACUAUAUUACCUUUCAUACAAUUUACCUUUUUCAUAAUUUAAGU
rnacentral:lncRNA from 1 species